rnacentral:lncRNA from 1 species
CCUUGAUAUGCCUUUCCAUCCCUGGUCAUAUCGCUUGACAAUAUUCAUGGCCUGCUCGCCCAUCACUGUGCAUUACCAUGAUCCUGGGAAUGCAUGACCGCACCACCCAAUAUCUUCGGUCCACAGCCUACUCACACAUUGAGCACUACCAUGAUAUCGGCAUCCAAGUCUGCCCCAUCAAGUAAAUAUCUUCGACCGGAUGAUAAAUGCAUCAAGCCAUCCUCUCCUUGGCAUGACCCUCUUGGCCAUCC